UGAACUGUAGUAAGCCCAACUCCAGGAAAGUUAUUGCUGAUGCAUAUAAAACAACUUGCCUCUUGUAGAUUUAAAUUCAAAGUAUGCAUAUGUUGAUAAACUGAAGAUUUUUGUACUGAUGUUGUUAACCUCCAGCUACUAGACAACCAACUAAUGCGACAUCACCACCCAAUGUGCCAGAAAGAACUCUAGGCAUCACACCACCACCCCUGUUUCCACCACCUCAGCUCCGAACAACAUUGAUGGUAAAUACCCCAGCAACCCGACAAAUGCAGAGCGAGGCAGAUGCAUCUACUAGUCAAGCCACUGAUGCUGGGACAAUACCACCCAAUGUGCCUGAAAGAACUCUAGGCAUCACAGCACAAACACCUCAGCUACCGACAUCACUUAGGUUAAAUACCCCAGCAAGGAGACAACUGCAGAUCGAGACAACCACACCUGUGCAGAUCGAAAUUCUCACUCAGCUUGAAAUAAUCAAGCAGCAACAGGCCCAAAUCCUGCUGUUACUACAAAAACAAAACUCUAUGGGUGCUAUGGGUACAGACCAGACAGAAGUGGUGGCGAUAGCAGCAAAGUUUCCCAUUAAGGACAGGAGUGGUCUUACCACACUAGAGCAGGAGCUUCGUGAAAGCCCAGCCAU